rnacentral:rRNA from 1 species
UAUAAUUUAAAGUAGGGCCUGCCCACUGAAGUAUUAAAGGGCCGCAGUAUUUUGACUGUGCAAAGGUAGCAUAAUCAUUAGUUUUUUAAUUGAAAGCUUGUAUGAAUGGUUUGAUGAGAAAAUAACUUUCUAUAUUUAAAUUUUUAAAAAUUUUAUUUUUAAGUUAAAAAGCUUAAAUUUUUUUAAUAGACGAGAAGACCCUAUAGAGUUUUAUUAUAUUAAUUUUUUAAAUUUUUAGAAUUUAAAAAUUUUAAUUUUUAAUAUAAUUUGGUUGGGGUGACUGAAAAAUUAAAUAAACUUUUUUUAUAUUAUUACAUAGAUUUAUG